rnacentral:lncRNA from 1 species
ACUGAUUUCAAAGACUUGCUCCAAAACAGAAGGCAACGUAUCACACUAAUACUUUUAAUUUUUUUUUUUUUUGAGAUAGAGUGCCCAGGCUGGUGUCAAACUCCUGAUAAUUCUACCUCAGCCUCCUGAAUGCUGGGAUUACAGGCAUGAGCACUAUGCCGGGCUCAGUGAUCCAUAGAUUACAUACGGAAACGGUAAUAGGGUGGCUAUAUAGGACAAAUGAAAACCGAUUGUAGUGAAUUUCUUUUGGAGGUGCUGGGGCUGGAACCCAGGUCUUGCACAGGCAAGACAAGCGCACUUAACCACUGAGCCACACUCCCAGCCUGUUUUGCUGUUGAGGUCAUUUUUUUGCAUAGUGUUUUUGCCUGGGCCACCCUGGACUGUAAUUCUCCCACCUACAGCCUCCCAUGUAGCUGGGGUCACAGGUAUGUACCACGAUGCCCAGCCCACUGAGGUUGAGAUGAGGUCUCUCAACUCUACCUUCCCGAUCUCAGUCUCCCAGGGAGCUGGGAUUACAGGCAUGAGCCCCUGGUGCUGGCAAAUUCUGUGUUUCUCACCCUCAAGCCUGUCCUUCUGACAGUGACGGGCAUGGCAGGACUGGCUGGCUUGAAGAUGGACAUUGACCAUGUAAGAGCUAACGUGAACCAGUCCCUGGUGGAACUUCGGGGCCUAUUAGGUGAGUGAGACUUGGGGAACUUUCCAGAAAUGGGGAGGCAUUGCACAAGCCCACAGGAGUGAUUCUGAGCGGAGCGUAAGAACGGCGCCUCGGGCAGUUGAGCACUGUACAUCCGGCAUCACUGUACACAGCACCCUCCGCUCAGGGCUCUGACUCCAGGACCACCUGACAGCAUCCUGUGUUGCCCCCAGACUGUUCCAGGGUCACCUGUCCUGAUGGCUGGGUCCCUUUUGAGGGCAAGUGUUACUACUUCUCCUCAAACACCAAGUCCUGGGAUGACGCCAGGAGUUUCUGUCAGGAGAGUUAUUCCCACCUGGUCAUCAUCGAUAGCUUCGCUGAGCACAAUUUUGUCACCAAGACUCACGGCUCUCCGAGGGUGUACUGGCUGGGGCUGAAUGACAAGGAGCGAGAAGGGGACUGGAGGUGGCUGGAUGGCUCUCCUGUCACGUUAAGGCAAGUGUCCAUGGCUCCUGGGUCUCUCUGUGUCCUCUGUGUGUCCUGACGAUGGGAAGGAGAGAUGACAGUGGCUGUGUGGCUGAGGGACUCAUUUUUUAUUUGGUGGUACUAGGGUUUGAACUCAGG